rnacentral:lncRNA from 1 species
AAUGCUAAAAAACACCACCGAAGCUAUUCAAAACCGCAGUGCACGCUUUAUCUUGUCUAAUUACUCUCGCUAUGCAAGUGUCUCAUCAAUGAAACUAACUCUUAACUUACCUGAUCUUUCGUCACGCCGCAAAUGUUCCCGUCUCUCCCUUUUUCACAAAGUUUUU